GGCCAUUACCAUCUAGAAGCUGGUGGGGAUGUGGCAAUUAGAAGGACUGUUAGCCCUAGUUAAUGUGGUCAAGUGAUGUCAAUUGUUUAGUUUUUAGGUGCAAGGAACAGAACCGACGCUGCUGGACUUAAGGAGCAAAGGAAUUUAUCAGAAGGAUAUUGGAUGGCUUGCAGGAACCUGAGAGGCCCAGAGCCAGGCACUGAGGCUCUGCAGCCAGGAACAAUUGCCCACAAGAAAGCCUUAGAAACACUUCUGUGCUGGACCCCACAAGUUCCACCACUGACAACACGGGAUCAAUAAUGCGGCUACGGUCACUGCCAUCAUCUGCUCUGUACCGCACCUGCUUCUUCCAAACCCCUGAUUUCUCAUCAAUCAGGGUUAGGGAAGAUGUCCCUGACUGGCCUGUGCCUUCAGUUGUGCUCAAGGAGCUGGAAAAGCAAGAUCUGGCUUAAAGAAAGAAGCCCUCUUCUGCCUGAGACCAAGUAAUCAACAAUGUAACUACAG